AAUAUUUUCAUAGUGAUGACAUAUUAAGAAGGAAUCUCGUUGAAUUUCGUAAUGCGUUAUUAUGAAAACAAUUUUAAAUAACUGAUCAUAUU